rnacentral:rRNA from 1 species
CCUACGGGUGGCAGCAGUGGGGAAUAUUGGACAAUGGGGGCAACCCUGAUCCAGCCAUGCCGCGUGUGUGAAGAAGGCCCUCGGGUUGUAAAGCACUUUCAGUGAGGAAGAACGCCUGGUGGUUAAUACCCAUCAGGAAAGACAUCACUCACAGAAGAAGCACCGGCUAACUCCGUGCCAGCAGCCGCGGUAAUACGGAGGGUGCGAGCGUUAAUCGGAAUUACUGGGCGUAAAGCGCGCGUAGGUGGCUUGAUAAGCCGGUUGUGAAAGCCCCGGGCUCAACCUGGGAACGGCAUCCGGAACUGUCAAGCUAGAGUGCAGGAGAGGAAGGUAGAAUUCCCGGUGUAGCGGUGAAAUGCGUAGAGAUCGGGAGGAAUACCAGUGGCGAAGGCGGCCUUCUGGACUGACACUGACACUGAGGUGCGAAAGCGUGGGUAGCAAACAGGAUUAGAUACCCUAGAGUC